UACGUAGGGGGCCAGCGUUGUCCGGAUUCAUUGGGCGUAAAGCGCGUGUAGGCGGCCAGGUAGGUCCGAUGUGAAAUCUGGAGGCUCAACCUUCAGCGGUCAUUGGAAACCAUCUGGCUAGAGUCCGGGAGAGGUGAGUGGAAUUCCCAGUGUAGCGGUGAAAUGCGUAGAUAUUGGGAGGAACACCAGUGGCGAAGGCGGCUCACUGGACCGGAACUGACGCUGAGGCGCGAAAGCGUGGGGAGCAAACAGG
rnacentral:rRNA from 1 species